UACGUAGGGGGCGAGCGUUGUCCGGAUUUAUUGGGCGUAAAGAGCUCGUAGGCGGUUUGGUAAGUCGGGUGUGAAAUCUCCACGCUCAACGUGGAGGGGCCACUCGAUACUGCCAUGACUCGAGUCCGGUAGAGGAGUGUGGAAUUCCCGGUGUAGCGGUGAAAUGCGCAGAUAUCAGGAAGAACACCCGUGGCGAAGGCGGCUCUCUGGGACGGUACUGACGCUGAGACGCGAAAGCGUGGGGAGUGAACAGG
rnacentral:rRNA from 1 species